UACGAAGGGGGCUAGCGUUGCUCGGAAUCACUGGGCGUAAAGGGUGCGUAGGCGGGUCUUUAAGUCAGGGGUGAAAUCCUGGAGCUCAACUCCAGAACUGCCUUUGAUACUGAGGAUCUUGAGUUCGGGAGAGGUGAGUGGAACUGCGAGUGUAGAGGUGAAAUUCGAUAGAUAUUGCAAGAACACCAGUGGCGAAGGCGGCUCACUGGCCCGAGUACUGACGCUGAGGCACGAAAGCGUGGGGAGCAAACAGGG
rnacentral:rRNA from 1 species